GAGUGAUGUUGAAAGCUUCAACUGUCUUUAUUGUUAGUAACACUUGUCAAGUAAGUGAGCGUUCGAGUCUGCCAGUACGAAUGGCAUCUCAUGAUGUCGUCCUUGAACCUCAUAGAAUCUGAUAUUGGCAGUUUGAUUAUUGUCAGUUGUCUAUUUAGAUAGUCAUUAAUCUCCUGAGAAGAACAUGUCAAACUCCUUAUCUCCAAGAUCGCAACAUAGACACAUAGAGGCUCCUUGUCUAGAGAGGAGAGAACGUUCUGCAGCCCUGUCAGUAACCCUGCACAUAGCACCUUUGUGCCUUAUCGAGCAAAGGCCAGUCGUCGAGGACAGGUCUACUAGUACUGUAACACAAUAAAUGAUAGCAAAAGAAAGGCCUAGGAUGAAAUUACUGCCUCAUUAAACGCCAGCAACCAAGAUCAACUCCCUCUCACAGCCAAGCACCUCAAGUGGAGCUCCAACCUAAAAAAGGAAACUAAAACCAGAGAUGUAGGAGAGCGGGUGGUGGUCCUCCAGAAAAACUAUCAUGAGCUUCAGAAGAAAUCGCUAUCCAGUGCUUGUGUCAUGCGGAAGACUUCUGCAAGUGUACCUGAACUUCCUCACUCCCAUGAUCCUCUUGUUUUGCCUGUUCCAACCCCAGGGCCAUCAACUGUGUCUUCUGCACAAUCUACUUCUGUUUUUCGACUUCUAAUUUCACCCUCUGUUCCUGCCUCACCAGUCAUUGUGAGAAAAGACAAGGGGAGUUCCACAAAUAUAUAUUGUACACAAUGAAAAGAGAGCAUGAGGAGGAACUGAAAGUGAAGGCCAUAAUAUCAGCACAUACACUCAAAGAAAGAUAAAGUGAAACUGUAAUUAGAGUGAUUGAAAAGACGCUUGAAAAAAUUAAUAAAUCUUUUGAAUUGUUAGAUACAUGUUUAAGGAAAGCAUCAACUGCAUAUGAUGCCAUGGCUAAAACUUAUGAAUGAUGGUUGAGUAAUAACAUACAGUCAUAUGCAAUGUUUAUGAUUUUACUAUAUACAGGGGUACUGUGAUAUAUCGUAAAGUGGCAUCUAGAUUAUAAAUUUAUUUUCUUAUGUCUUACACCUUAAAAUAAUUUUAUUUAAAGGAAAUAAAUCUACAUUUCUUUAU